GAUGAACGCUGGCGGCGCGCCUAACACAUGCAAGUCGAACGAUUAAAGCACCUUCGGGUGUGUAUAAAGUGGCGAACGGCUGAGUAACACGUGGGCAACCUGCCUUUUACUUUGGGAUAGCCUCGGGAAACCGAGGAUAAUACCGAAUACUUUGUAUGUAUCGCAUGGUAUAUACAAGAAAGCUUUUGCGGUAAAAGAUGGGCCCGCGGCCUGUUAGCUUGUUGGUGAGGUAACGGCUCACCAAGGCAAUGAUGGGUAGCCGGGUCGAGAGACCGACCGGCCAGAUUGGGACUGAGACACGGCCCAGACUCCUACGGGAGGCAGCAGUGGGGAAUCUUGCGCAAUGGGGGAAACCCUGACGCAGCGACGCCGCGUGCGGGAUGAAGGCCUUCGGGUUGUAAACCGCUUUCAGCAGGGACGAGGCCUUAUGGUGACGGUACCUGCAGAAGAAGCUCCGGCUAAAUACGUGCCAGCAGCCGCGGUAAUACGUAUGGAGCAAGCGUUAUCCGGAUUCAUUGGGCGUAAAGCGCUCGUAGGCGGUCUGUUAGGUCGGCAAGUUAAAUCCGGGGGCUCAACCCCCGUCCGCUUCCGAUACCGGCAGACCUGAGUUUGGUAGGGGAAGGUGGAAUUCCUAGUGUAGCGGUGGAAUGCGCAGAUAUUAGGAAGAACACCGGUGGCGAAGGCGGCCUUCUGGGCCAUAACUGACGCUGAGGAGCGAAAGCUAGGGGAGCGAACAGG
rnacentral:rRNA from 1 species